GACGAACGCUGGCGGCGUGCUUAACACAUGCAAGUCGAGCGGUAAGGCCCUUCGGGUACACGAGCGGCGAACGGGUGAGUAACACGUGGGUGACCUGCCUCUAGCUCUGGGAUAAGCCUGGGAAACUGGGUCUAAUACCGGAUAUGACUCCACGGCGCAUGUUGUGGGGUGGAAAGCCUUGUGUGGCUAGAGAUGGGCCCGCGGCCUAUCAGCUUGUUGGUGGGGUGAUGCCUACCAAGGCGACGACGGGUAGCCGGCCUCGAGAGGGCGACCGGCCACACUGGGACUGAGACACGGCCCAGACUCCUACGGGAGGCAGCAGUGGGGAAUCUUGCGCAAUGGGCGAAAGCCUGACGCAGCGACGCCGCGUGAGGGAUGAC
rnacentral:rRNA from 1 species